AUGCAAGUCGAACGAUGAAGCCCAGCUUGCUGGGUGGAUUAGUGGCGAAUGGGUGAGUAACACGUGAGUAACCUGCCCUUAACUCUGGGAUAAGCCUGGGAAACUGGGUCUAAUACCGGAUAGGAGCGUCCACCGCAUGGUGGGUGUUGGAAAGAUUUAUCGGUUUUGGAUGGACUCGCGGCCUAUCAACUUGUUGGUGAGGUAAUGGCUCACCAAGGCGACGACGGGUAGCCGGCCUGAGAGGGUGACCGGCCACACUGGGACUGAGACACGGCCCAGACUCCUACGGGAGGCAGCAGUGGGGAAUAUUGCACAAUGGGCGAAAGCCUGAUGCAGCGACGCCGCGUGAGGGAUGACGGCCUUCGGGUUGUAAACCUCUUUCAGUAGGGAAGAAGCGAAAGUGACGGUACCUGCAGAAGAAGCACCGGCUAACUACGUGCCAGCAGCCGCGGUAAUACGUAGGGUGCGAGCGUUAUCCGGAAUUAUUGGGCGUAAAGAGCUCGUAGGCGGUUUGUCGCGUCUGUCGUGAAAGUCCGGGGCUUAACCCCGGAUCUGCGGUGGGUACGGGCAGACUAGAGUGCAGUAGGGGAGACUGGAAUUCCUGGUGUAGCGGUGGAAUGCGCAGAUAUCAGGAGGAACACCGAUGGCGAAGGCAGGUCUCUGGGCUGUAACUGACGCUGAGGAGCGAAAGCAUGGGGAGCGAACAGGAUUAGAUACCCUGGUAGUCCAUGCCGUAAACGUUGGGCACUAGGUGUGGGGACCAUUCCACGGUUUCCGCGCCGCAGCUAACGCAUUAAGUGCCCCGCCUGGGGAGUACGGCCGCAAGGCUAAAACUCAAAGGAAUUGACGGNGGCCCGCACAAGCGGCGGAGCAUGCGGAUUA
rnacentral:rRNA from 1 species